AGCAGCCGCGGUAAUUCCAGCUCCAAUAGCGUAUAUUAAAGUUGUUGCAGUUAAAAAGCUCGUAGUUGAAUUUCGGGAUCGACGGGUCGGUCGCGCCUCUGGUGUGUACUGGCCCUGUCGGUUUCUCCCUUCUGACGAACCACGAUGUCAUUAAUUUGGUGUCGUGGGAAAUCAGGACUGUUACUUUGAAAAAAUUAGAGUGUUUAAAGCAGGCAUUCGCUUGAAUACAUUAGCAUGGAAUAAUGAAAUAGGACGUUUGAUCUUAUUUUGUUGGUUUCUAAGAUCGACGUAAUGAUUAAUAGGGAUAGUUGGGG
rnacentral:rRNA from 1 species